AGCGAACAGACGAGGAGCUUGCUCCUCUGACGUUAGCGGCGGACGGGUGAGUAACACGUGGAUAACCUACCUAUAAGACUGGGAUAACUUCGGGAAACCGGAGCUAAUACCGGAUAAUAUAUUGAACCGCAUGGUUCAAUAGUGAAAGACGGUUUUGCUGUCACUUAUAGAUGGAUCCGCGCCGCAUUAGCUAGUUGGUAAGGUAACGGCUUACCAAGGCAACGAUGCGUAGCCGACCUGAGAGGGUGAUCGGCCACACUGGAACUGAGACACGGUCCAGACUCCUACGGGAGGCAGCAGUAGGGAAUCUUCCGCAAUGGGCGAAAGCCUGACGGAGCAACGCCGCGUGAGUGAUGAAGGUCUUCGGAUCGUAAAACUCUGUUAUUAGGGAAGAACAAAUGUGUAAGUAACUAUGCACGUCUUGACGGUACCUAAUCAGAAAGCCACGGCUAACUACGUGCCAGCAGCCGCGGUAAUACGUAGGUGGCAAGCGUUAUCCGGAAUUAUUGGGCGUAAAGCGCGCGUAGGCGGUUUUUUAAGUCUGAUGUGAAAGCCCACGGCUCAACCGUGGAGGGUCAUUGGAAACUGGAAAACUUGAGUGCAGAAGAGGAAAGUGGAAUUCCAUGUGUAGCGGUGAAAUGCGCAGAGAUAUGGAGGAACACCAGUGGCGAAGGCGACUUUCUGGUCUGUA
rnacentral:rRNA from 1 species